rnacentral:rRNA from 1 species
CAUGCAAGUCGAGGGGUAGAGAGAAUACUUGAGACCGGCGCACGGGUGCGUAACGCGUAUGCAAUCUACCUUUUACAGAGGGAUAGCCCAGAGAAAUUUGGAUUAAUACCUCAUUGCAUAGCAACUUCGCAUGAAGUCACUAUUAAAGUUCCAACGGUAAAAGAUGAGCAUGCGUCCUAUUAGCUAGUUGGUGUGGUAACGGCACACCAAGGCUACGAUAGGUAGGGGUCCUGAGAGGGAGAUCCCCCACACUGGUACUGAGACACGGACCAGACUCCUACGGGAGGCAGCAGUGAGGAAUAUUGGACAAUGGGCGCAAGCCUGAUCCAGCCAUGCCGCGUGCAGGAAGACGCAUCUAUGGUGUGUAAACUGCUUUUGUACGGGAAGAAACACUCCUACGUGUAGGAGCUUGACGGUACCGUAAGAAUAAGGAUCGGCUAACUCCGUGCCAGCAGCCGCGGUAAUACGGAGGAUCCAAGCGUUAUCCGGAAUCAUUGGGUUUAAAGGGUCCGUAGGCGGUUUGAUAAGUCAGUGGUGAAAGCCCAUCGCUCAACGAUGGAACGGCCAUUGAUACUGUCAGACUUGAAUUACUAGGAAGUAACUAGAAUAUGUAGUGUAGCGGUGAAAUGCUUAGAUAUUACAUGGAAUACCAAUUGCGAAGGCAGGUUACUACUAGUUUAUUGACGCUGAUGGACGAAAGCGUGGGGAGCGAACAGGAUUAGAUACCCUGGUAGUCCACGCCGUAAACGAUGGAUACUAGCUGUUCGGAGCAAUCUGAGUGGCUAAGCGAAAGUGAUAAGUAUCCCACCUGGGGAGUACGUUCGCAAGAAUGAAACUCAAAGGAAUUGACGGGGGCCC